UGCUGGAAGCGAAGCUCCCUGCGUGGAAGAGAGGAGGAGGAGGGCGAGCCCAGCGCCGCCGUUUCAUGCUCGGGGUGGCCGCUUCCCUUGCUGGUGGCUGGGCCGUGCCUGUGGUGGGGACUGGAGGGCGGGAUCCCAGAGCUCAACAACAAGGCGCGGCCAGAGCCUCUCCUCUCACACGUGCACACAAAGGGACCCGGAGCAGCCGCCACCGCCGCCGCUUCUUCCCAUCGGACUAAUAACUCCUCUCCCCCUCCCCCUGUCAUCCUCCUCCUCCAAAACAAAAACGCGCGCAGCGCACACACAAACCGGGUCGGGGAGUCAGCAGCACCUCGCUGAGGCGUAGGGCUGGUUCCUGCAACUUCUAGCCCCGUCCCUGAUGGGGGACCUUUGGAGAGGGUGGCUGAGCCAGACACGUCCAGGUCAGAAGCGAUCGACAGCAAUUAGCCUUUCCCGUCAAACGCCUCCCUCCACCCAAAGGAGCCAGGCGCUUGGAGGAGGCGGAGGAAAGCGGAAGGUGUAUCAAUCACACCAAGACUGUAGAAGAUCAAACUGACCGAAACCAGAUACCAAGGGGAUUGUUCUCAGUGAUUGUCAAGGGAAUCCAAACAAAGAGAGAGAAUUACCCAACUUCCUUCAAGCUCUCUCAUUACUUACAAAACAAACGGCCCCACCGUGGCCUCAUAAGGAAUUCCCUCGAUUUCGUUUUCAGAGUUUAAAGAAGAGAGAAGGUAAAGUGUGAUUGUCAGACAAGCAUGAUUGCUGCCAAAACACCUUACAGCAAUAGGUGCCAUAUUGCAUUUGCUCUUCAAAUGGUGGAAUACAGCUGUGGAUACUUUAGUGGGGAUUAACAGAGUACAAACACUGAAUGACUAAAGACAUCAAACAUCAUCAUUUGGAUUUAUACAUCUAUUAAUAAACUGAUAAAACUGGUGGUAGUGGCUCUUGAAGAAAUCAGAAAAUAUGGAAGAUGUUGUUGAAAAUGGUCUGGAGAUCACUUUGACAAUGAUAUUCUACAAUUAAAAUAAGGGAAUUGGCCAUAUCUCUUUCUUUUGCCCGGCUGCUGAAGCAUUGUCACAGGACAGCAAGGAUUGAUGAAUAUUCUUCAGGUUCAAAGCAAGAAAUUUGAGAAUCUAGAGGAGCCAAACAAAGAUAAAUAGUGAGCCAAUUUUCCAAACUGGCAGUGACAUACUAGGAUUUGGAAGAAGUACGCUUGUAUGAGUCAUGUCAGUACAGUGAAAGAGGAGGAUUUAUAUUUUUGAAGUGGGAUUGUGUAUGUGAUCAAAGGAUUUACAUGCAGCUCUCUGUGCUGUAGUUCCUUCCUGCUCCAGGAGGGACACCUGGGAUUUGGAAGAAUGUUCUUUCAGUACAUUGCUGCGGAAGCAUCAAGAAAAAAAGCUGCGUAGCACCAUUGCCUUAAAAGCAAGUUUUGCAGAGGGAAAAAGCAAAACCUAAACUACAUAGAGGGGGCAGAGGGCAAAUGUUACAGACUGAGGAAAGACGUAUGCAAAACUAAGCCAAGAGUCUGAGAGAUACAAAGAGCAGAUAUUAUACUGGGGAGAAAAGAUUGUACAAAUGAUCUUAUACCAAUGACAGUAAAAAGUUUCCCUGGAUAGGAACGAGGCCCAAAAGUCAAGCCAGUCUUCCUAAGUGAGGGACCUGCUCAGAAACUGCUCACUGAAGGACAGUAGGUCUUGCCUGUCGCUCUUGCUGUUAUGGCAGGAGGUGUUGCAAUGGUGACCAAGCUAUGUCCAGGUUAUGCCUUUCUUCAGAUACUAAGGACUGCAGUUGUCUAUGAAUGCGGACUUCUGAAUUCCAACAAGAGGUGAUAGGAAUUCCUUAUGGGACUUAUGAUCUUCACUAUUUUGUAUCCUAGGAACUCCUUUAUCAUUAAACUUGAAAUAGGCAUUGGUCUGAUAUGCAUCUUGGGUGAUACUGCAACAUGCUCCUGGCAUAUUAGCAGGCUUCGAGCUGCGCUGUUUGGAAGAAGCAACGUCGUCUUCUCUCACAGCUACGACGCGGCACCGCUCUCAGCAUAUCCUGCUUUUUUCCCCCAUUUACCUGGGCGGCUUCUGCUGUUUCUGUUGCUGCUGCUGGGGCUGCUGCAGUUUCGCUGCCUGUGCUUCACCCUGGCAUGUCUGAGUCGGGAAUCACUCGUCUGCACGCUGCUAAGGAAGAGCAGCGAUGGAACUCUGGCCACAUUUUUUUUUUCUGGAAGAGAAGGGUUGCGAUGUGGGGUGGGUUUUUUUUUUUUUUUUUUUUUGAAAGGUGGGGACGUUAAUCCAAAGUGAGGUGGGAGAAAGUUUAAAGAAAUAUUACGCAAAAUAAUCCAGCACACGACAAGGGCAUCAGCAGCAAGAAGCCAGCCUCUGCUGCUCGAAAGGAUUACAUGGGAAAAGCCACAGUGGUGCAGUAGUGUUUCACCUCAGCAUUGUGCUGGAGAUGGAUGAAUAAGGUAUCUGAUAUGUCCGCCUGUAAAGGCAAAGCUAUGGGAGGAAGAGAGCGAGAGAGCAAAUGAAAAGGAAGAAGAAACACUGUAUUCUGUUUGUCUGAUUCUGUGCGUUCUUAUUCUAGAGAUGGUUGCAUAAUUUACCAAACAAUGUGUGGACGGAGGGACUGUAAAUUGUAGUCUGAACACUCCCGACGCUGUCAGGGAGGGAACUGAUGGGCUAGGUGACUGCACUGACAUCCCCAGGGAAAACGGCCGUCAUGCAGUAUAUAUUUAUAUAUGUAUGUGUAUCUCUUGUGUGUCCAUGUGUAGACAUGAAAAAAGGCAUUUCUGACCAAUUUAUACAGGAAGUUUGUCACUUUGCUAGAUCAGACUUGAUUACAGCUUAUAUUUUCAGCUACAACUCUGCACCCAUUUCCUGAAUCAGAAGGUGCUUUGUGAAAACAGACGUAUGCAGAAUUCUUUUAAGAAAUGUGAAAGCAGCUCCUUUUGAUUUAACACCUUGAAGCACUGAAUCUUCUGCACUGUGCGAGAGGAACUGUGUGGGUUUUGUUUUCUUCAUCUUAAAAUCUUUAUAAACACAGCUGUAUUCAGUAUGGUGAAAAAUUCUAUAUUGUAAAUAGAAAUGCGAUCAAUCUAAUCAAAAUAAAUGUAUCCCAGAUGACUGCUAGACCAGCUGGCUACCACAGUCUUCAGAUGGCUAAAUGCUCAACUGAGAUAGAUUCAGCAUUAUAUUUACUACUACUUUUUUUAAUUUCAAAAUCAGCCUAUAAUUAAAAAAAGAUUCUUGGUCCGGUUAAAAGAGGCAAUGCUCCACAACUGGCAGUGCAUCAUUCUGAAAUGGACACUGAUAUUUUUCAUUUCUGGACGUGCCUUUGGAAGAUUGUGUUUUAGAACAGAUGGACUUGUCAUCAUACAGACAUACUUAGUAUGGUGAAAACUAGUAGACAGCUCAGGUUGGCCAUAUCCAUGUAAUGUGCAAAAUGAAGUUAAGGGAAACAAAUGCCGCACUCAAGUAGUGGAGACUUGGUAGGAUUUUUAGCAACUACCUACUGUGAGUGUUUUGGGGUUUUUUAAAACACGAAUCCAAAACCCAUAAAGUAAUCUUAAAAUUUGUAUGAGGGGAUUUCCCAAUAGUCAUGGUGAGCUAUCCUGCAAGAUGCCUGCCUGGGCCUUCCACAAUUUGUUACCAGGUCUACAAAGGCAGCCCUGUAUGUUGGAUUAUAUUUAGCCAGCUGUUGGAUAACAUUCCUGUGUUGUGGGCGGAGGAGUCUUAUUACUUCCAAACUGUAGUUAUCUGUUUAAAGGAAAAAUAGUUUUAGAAAAUACAUUGAGCUCAGCUGAGGAGUUGCACCUCUCCUGUACCUUUCUCAAGUGCUGUGUUUCCAACCCAGCCACUUUAAAACAAAACUGGGAGGAGGAAGAGAGACUUUAACUCAGAGCUUCAAAGCUGCAGAGACAAGCAAAAUGUCAGCAGCUUGUAAUUAGCUGCUCAUGGUUACGUCAGUGACUGUAUCUCUCCAAGAAUAACUGUGAUGUGUGCCACAAAGUAAGGAAGAUAGUCAUAACCUAGUUAUCAAGCCUGGUUCAAACAAGAGCAAAUGGAUUAAUGAAUCUGCUGUGUUCAUAAAUCAAAUAUGGAUGGAUUACAUAUAUGAUUUACUGAAUUCUGUAUAAUUGAAGGGUGAAUUAGGAACUUGCCAGAGGGCAUGUUCACUAAGUAAAAGUGUGAAUCCUUUAAAAAAUGCAGAUGAACUAUCCCUGAAAAUGUCUUUAAGGGCUCCAUCUAGUACAAGCAACUGUGAGACACUGACGCAUGCUACAAAGGAAAACACCAAGAGACACACGGAGGUGCUUAAAAGAAAGGGAGUAAUAAAACACAAAGCAUGCUGAAAUUCUGUUUUGGCAUUACAGAUUUGAUACUAAAAUACCACCCCAGAGAAGACUUAUUGUGAUCUGACGUGGUUUACAUUGACUCCUCUGUUUGGGUGCAAAAAAAGAAAAAAGAUUUUGUGAGGCUCAGUGCAACAUCUUGGAGCCAAGCAGAAAACCAUCAAUACUGCAGAGUACCAGGAAUGCUUGCUUUUAAAGGGACAAGAUCAAUCCAUGCUAGGAUCCUUCUGUACUCUGCAAUUAUUUUAGGUCUAUGUUGGCAAUUCAGCAACAUUUAAACAGUGAGAUUGUGGGGGGUACUUAAUCUGCUCUGAUUGGCCUUUUUCCACAUUGUUGCUGUAAAAUAUUUACAUGGCUUUUAUCCAUACACCUUACAACAUUCAGUUUGCAUUUCUGUUUGUGUUCAUGCUGCACAAUUGCUACAAGCCUGGUUUGUUUCCAUAUUCCCAGCAGAAGUCAGUUUCAGUUCAGCUAUGUUUAUUUAGCUCCUUAAUACACCAAGAUAGAUAGAUUGUAUUUUGCAAACACAGAUUUUUUUUUCUUUUUUUUUUUUACUGCGAACACAAAUUUGUAGGAGGAGAUGACUGUACAUUAAACCAAUACCUCUUUGAAAUGCAUGUAAUAUAAUUUAAAGAUACUUAAUUUAAUUAAUAGAAGGUUACAAAAGCUGGCAUUGUCUGAGCCUGUUUAAUUUACAUCUUAGACUUAGUCAAUGAGCAUAACCUGCCUGAUCGGAAUAGUGUAUUCUGUGCGCCCAACAGGGUGGAAGACAUUAUUUUGUUUGUGUUAGUUCAAACAGCUGGUCAUUAAUGCAGGACCCAUCUCCAGAGUGAAGUGCUAGUGGACAUGAAUGGCUCCCUGAUUAAUGCUGCCCCUCGAAGGGUCCUUCAUCCAGCAGCGAUGCUUGCAGCAGAAUAAUGCAGCAUGAUUUGAUUGCGCUCUAGCAGGGUAGUAUGUCAUUGUGUCACCAGGCAAUUGAGGUUAUUAUGGAGCAGGGCAGACAGACGGGACAGUGGGGUUACUAGACCGUGGCAUUUUUAGAAAUACAGGCCUGACCUACUUAGAGUUAUUCUUGCCGGCUGGCAGCUUCAUGGUGCAUGGAGUGUCCUGAUAGGCCGAGGCUGUUGCUAGGGGGAAUUAGCAUGAAUUUUUCCACAUACAGACUCGGUGAUUGAAUGAUAAAAGCUGACUGGAAUUAAAGAGAUUCGGUUCAGUAUUAUGCAGAUUUAUCUCCCUCAUUUUUCUCUCUCAAAUGCAGAAAAAGGAGCAAAAGACAGUUUGUUUCCAUUUAUUCUUUGACCUAUUUUUUGCAGAGGAGGGCAAAAGUUAUGAAAUGUUAAUCAUUUACUGUUUUAAUGUCUAAAAUGAUGCUGCCUAGGGUAAGAUAUUUAAGUUCAUAGACUGCUUGGAACAGGUAACAGAUUAGGGUUUUUUUCCUCUCUCUCUCUCCUGUGCACUGCACUAUUUUGAGGCAUGCAUCUUUCAUGUACUGUAUAUUUGAACUCUGUCCCCUUUAGAAGAGAAUGAAACAUGUAUAUAAAUUUUGUUCUAUCCAAACAACUGGCUUGUUUAAAAGAAGCUAUAUAGGAUUCCCAGUUUGGAAAGGAAAACAUAAUCCAGCUUUUAUUGCAUAACAUUAUUCUUGACUCUUUUUAGCUAUCCUUGCUUCACAAAAUUAGUCUGUUUAUGUUCCUGGAUGAAAGUCUUCUCCCCAGUCUCUGUCUCCCAUAUGCACAGACACACCUAAGAUUUCCUAUAGAGGACAGUGUUGUGUGUAGUGUUUAUCUGGAAAACUGUUUGCAUACUGAUGACAUAUCUGUACUGCAUGUACAGUAGAUACUUAUAGCUGGCCUGUGAUCAGUUUGAUAAGAUAACCUCUUCUGGAUUUCCAAAUAGCUUUCUGUGUUCAGUUUGGAACUGGAUUUUCUCAGUAGCUCUUUUUUUAUACCCAUCCCCUUAAAUCAGUGUGGCGGUGUUUUUUUUAACAGAAUUCUAA